AUUGAACGCUGGCGGCAUGCUUUACACAUGCAAGUCGAACGGUAACAGGCCGCAAGGUGCUGACGAGUGGCGAACGGGUGAGUAAUGCAUCGGAACGUGCCCAGUCGUGGGGGAUAACGCAGCGAAAGCUGCGCUAAUACCGCAUACGAUCUAUGGAUGAAAGCGGGGGACCGAAAGGCCUCGCGCGAUUGGAGCGGCCGAUGUCAGAUUAGGUAGUUGGUGGGGUAAAGGCCCACCAAGCCAACGAUCUGUAGCUGGUCUGAGAGGACGACCAGCCACACUGGGACUGAGACACGGCCCAGACUCCUACGGGAGUCAGAAGUGGGGAAUUUUGGACAAUGGGCGCAAGCCUGAUCCAGCAAUGCCGCGUGCAGGAAGAAGGCCUUCGGGUUGUAAACUGCUUUUGUACGGAACGAAACGGUCCGGGUUAAUACCCUGGGCUAAUGACGGUACCGUAAGAAUAAGCACCGGCUAACUACGUGCCAGCCGCCGCGGUAAGAC
rnacentral:rRNA from 1 species